rnacentral:rRNA from 1 species
AAGAACCUUACCAGGCCUUGACAUGCAGAGAACUUUCCAGAGAUGGAUUGGUGCCUUCGGGAACUCUGACACAGGUGCUGCAUGGCUGUCGUCAGCUCGUGUCGUGAGAUGUUGGGUUAAGUCCCGUAACGAGCGCAACCCUUGUCCUUAGUUACCAGCACGUUAUGGUGGGCACUCUAAGGAGGCUGCCGGUGACAAACCGGAGGAAGGUGGGGAUGACGCCAAGUCAUCAUGGCCCUUACGGCCUGGGCUACACACGUGCUACAAUGGUCGGUACAAAGGGUUGCCAAGCCGCGAGGUGGAGCUAAUCCCAUAAAACCGAUCGUAGUCCGGAUCGCAGUCUGCAACUCGACUGCGUGAAGUCGGAAUCGCUAGUAAUCGUGAAUCAGAAUGUCACGGUGAGUACGUUCCCGGGCCUU